GGGGGUGUAGCUCAGUGGUAGAGCGCUCGCUUUGCAUGCGGAAAGUCCCAGGUUCAAACCCCGGCUCCUCCA